rnacentral:rRNA from 1 species
AGAGUUUGAUCCUGGCUCAGGACGAACGCUGGCGGCGUGCUUAAUACAUGCAAGUCGAGCGAGGUUGCGAAUUGGGUAACUGAUUUGCAGCUUAGCGGCGGACGGGUGAGUAACGCGUGGGCAAUCUGCCCUCUAGCCUGGGAUAACAGUUCGAAAGGACUGCUAACACCGGAUAUGCUCCCACCUUGGCAUCAGGGAGAGAGGAAAGUUUACACUAGAGGAUGAGCCCGCGUCCCAUUAGCUAGUUGGUGAGGUAACGGCCCACCAAGGCGACGAUGGGUAGCCGACCUGAGAGGGUGACCGGCCACACUGGGACUGAGACACGGCCCAGACUCCUACGGGAGGCAGCAGUAGGGAAUUUUCCGCAAUGGGCGAAAGCCUGACGGAGCAACGCCGCGUGAGGGAUGAAGGUCUUCGGAUCGUAAACCUUUGUCUAGAGGGACGAUAAUGACGGUACCUCUGGAGGAAGCCACGGCUAACUACGUGCCAGCAGCCGCGGUAAUACGUAGGUGGCAAGCGUUGUCCGGAAUUACUGGGCGUAAAGGGCGUGUAGGCGGCCUUUUAAGUCAGACGUGAAAACCCUGGGCUUAACCCAGGACCUGCGUUUGAUACUGAUGGGCUUGAGGACCGGAGAGGACAGUGGAAUUCCCAGUGUAGCGGUGAAAUGCGUAGAUAUUGGGAGGAACACCAGUGGCGAAGGCGACUGUCUGGACGGCACCUGACGCUGAGGCGCGAAAGCCAGGGGAGCAAACGGGAUUAGAUACCCCGGUAGUCCUGGCUGUAAACGAUGGGUACUAGGU